rnacentral:rRNA from 1 species
GCUGGCGGCGUGCCUAAUACAUGCAAGUCGAGCGAACCACUUCGGUGGUUAGCGGCGGACGGGUGAGUAACACGUGGGCAACCUGCCUGUAAGACUGGGAUAACGCCGGGAAACCGGCGCUAAUACCGGAUAAUCCUUUUCCUCUCAUGAGGAAAAGCUGAAAGUCGGUUUCGGCUGACACUUACAGAUGGGCCCGCGGCGCAUUAGCUAGUUGGUGAGGUAACGGCUCACCAAGGCGACGAUGCGUAGCCGACCUGAGAGGGUGAUCGGCCACACUGGGACUGACACACGGCCCAGACUCCUACGGGAGGCAGCAGUAGGGAAUCUUCCACAAUGGACGAAAGUCUGAUGGAGCAACGCCGCGUGAGCGAUGAAGGCCUUCGGGUCGUAAAGCUCUGUUGUUAGGGAAGAACAAGUGCCGGAGUAACUGCCGGUACCUUGACGGUACCUAACCAGAAAGCCACGGCUAACUACGUGCCAGCAGCCGCGGUAAUACGUAGGUGGCAAGCGUUGUCCGGAAUUAUUGGGCGUAAAGCGCGCGCAGGCGGUCCUUUAAGUCUGAUGUGAAAGCCCACGGCUCAACCGUGGAGGGUCAUUGGAAACUGGGGGACUUGAGUGCAGACGAGGAAAGCGGAAUUCCACGUGUAACGGUGAAAUGCGUAGAGAUGUGGARGAACACCAGUGGCGAA